UACGAAGGGGGCUAGCGUUGUUCGGAUUUACUGGGCGUAAAGCGCACGUAGGCGGUUUGUUAAGUCAGGGGUGAAAUCCCAGAGCUCAACUCUGGAACUGCCUUUGAUACUGGCAAGCUAGAGUCUGGAAGAGGUAAGUGGAACUCCUAGUGUAGAGGUGGAAUUCGUAGAUAUCUGGAGGAACACCGGUGGCGAAGGCGGCAUUCUGGACCAUAACUGACACUGAGAGACGAAAGCCAGGGGAGCAAACGGG
rnacentral:rRNA from 1 species